AGGAUGCCAGAAGAGAGCGUGGCCUCACGUGUACCAGCUCUCUGCUCUCCUUUGCCUUGGGACGUUCCAUCCCUGGAAGUUUCCCUGCCCACAUCUUUGUAGAGAGUCCAUUCUCCAAGCUUCAGUGUGUCAUCUGUGAGGACCGUGACCCACCUGGUACAUCGCCUCAGGGCAUUCAUUUCAGGCUCCUUCUAAAUGGCCAAGAUCUUGCUUUCUUUUGUAUGUUUGCAAAGAAUAUAUAGUACACUUCCUUGAUCUGUGGUUCCUAAAGUGUGAUUCCCAACAAGCAGCAUCAGGAUCAUCUGGAAACUUGAUAGAAAUGUAAAUUCUACAGUCCCUCCUUGGAGCUACAGAUUCAGAAAUUCUGAAGUUUAAGUCCAGCAGUUGGUUAUAAUAAGCUCUCUAGGUGAUUCUGACUUGCACCAAGGCACCCUUGGAAAUGCAAUGCUACAUCUCAAUGGGAUUUUCCAGUACAAAGAUUCUUUUCAAAUAACAUAAUUGUGGAUACACACCACUCCUACAGUGCUGCACUGAUGAGGAAACUGAAACAGAAAAUCCAGAGUAAAUUCCACCAGGCCACACAGCAAGGUCUGAUAGAGCCAGGAGAGACUUUAUGAAAUCCAGACUCUCACACUAAUGCUCUAUCAGCUAGACCUCCAUGUGAGUCUCCCCAAUGUAGGUAGGAAGUGC
rnacentral:lncRNA from 10 species